rnacentral:rRNA from 1 species
AAUGGGCGAAAGCCUGACGCAGCAACGCCGCGUGAGUGAUGAAGGCUUUCGGGUCGUAAAGCUCUGUCAAGGGGGAAAGAAGUGUAUUGUGGCUAAUAUCCACGAUACUUGACGGUACCCCUGAAGGAAGCACCGGCUAACUCCGUGCCAGCAGCCGCGGUAAUACGGGGGGUGCAAGCGUUGUUCGGAAUUAUUGGGCGUAAAGCGCGUGUAGGCGGUUUGUUAAGUCUGAUGUGAAAGCCCUGGGCUCAACCCAGGAAGUGCAUUGGAUACUGGCAGACUUGAAUACGGGAGAGGGUAGUGGAAUUCCUGGUGUAGGAGUGAAAUCCGUAGAUAUCAGGAGGAACACCGGUGGCGAAGGCGGCUACCUGGACCGAUAUUGACGCUGAGACGCGAAAGCGUGGGUAGCAAACAGGAUUAGAUACCCUGGUAGUCCACGCCGUAAACGAUGAGUACUAGGUGUUGCGGGUAUUGACCCCUGCAGUGCCGCAGCUAACGCAUUAAGUACUCCGCCUGGGAAGUACGGUCGCAAGAC